rnacentral:rRNA from 1 species
AACGGCGAGUGAAGCGGCAACAGCUCAAAUUUGAAAUCUGGCCUCGGCCCGAGUUGUAAUUUGCAGAGGAUGCUUCUGGCGCGGUGCCUUCCGAGUUCCCUGGAACGGGACGCCACAGAGGGUGAGAGCCCCGUAUGGUCGGACACCAAGCCUGUGUGAAGCUCCUUCGACGAGUCGAGUAGUUUGGGAAUGCUGCUCUAAAUGGGAGGUAAAUCUCUUCUAAAGCUAAAUACCGGCCAGAGACCGAUAGCGCACAAGUAGAGUGAUCGAAAGAUGAAAAGCACCUUGAAAAGGGGGUUAAAUAGUACGUGAAAUUGUUGAAAGGGAAGCACUUAUGACCAGACUUGGGCCGGGCGGCUCAUCAGGGGUUCUCCCCUGUGCACUCCGCCCGGCACAGGCCAGCAUCGGUUCUCGUGGGGGGAUAAGACCGUCAGGAACGUAGCACCCUCCGGGGUGUGUUAUAGCCUGGCGGACGAUACCCCCGUGGGGACCGAGGUCCGCGCUCCGCAAGGAUGCUGGCGUAAUGGUCAUCAGUGACCCGUCUUGAAACACGGACCAAGGAGUCGUCCAUUAGAGCGAGCGUUUGGGUGUAAAACCCGCACGCGUAAUGAAAGUGAACGCAGGUGAGAGCUUCGGCGCAUCAUCGACCGAUCCUGAUGUUCUCGGAAGGAUUUGAGUAAGAGUUUUAACGGACGGACCCGAAAGACAGUGAACUAUGCUUGUAUAGGGUGAAGCCAGAGGAAACUCUGGUGGAGGCUCGCAGCGGUUCUGACGUGCAAAUCGAUCGUCAAAUAUGAGCAUGGGGGCGAAAGACUAAUCGAAC